CCUUACACGGCAACAUCUCUCCCCUCCUUUCUCACCAAGAAUUCUAGUUUCUUUAAAGAAGAAAUCAAACAAUUAAUCCUAAGGUUUCAUCUUCAAAGUGUGUAGGUGGCGAGAACGAGAACACGGAUACUUGAGCUCCUCGCGUACAAUCUCUCGCGCCUUUUGUUUUCAGUGCACAGGUUCUUCCUGGAAGCAGCGAGAGUAUUAGAGGUGGCAAAGAUUCUGUGUUUUCUCGUUUUGUUAGAAUGUAGAGUUUUGUUGUAUAGUAGUUAGCUCUUUUGAUGUAUAGAAGGAAUCAAGAUGUACUUGAUCCUUUGAGCACAUAUGUAAUUCGGUACUGUAGUUUGUUUUGAACCCCAGUUGUAUGUCUUUGGGGUUAGGUUUGUAAUAAGAGUUUUGCUAAACGUUUAGCUAUGUAAUUUUUACUUGAAUACCUUAAGUUUCA